UUUCUCCUCUUCUCUCCUCAUUCCUUCAUUUUCCCCUUAUCUUAUUUUCUUCUCUCAUCUCCCUUCAUUUCAUUCAUUUCUUCUCUCCUCAUUCCUUCAUUUUUCCCUUAUCUUAUUUUCUUUUCUCAAUUAUUUUCUUCCAUUUUCUCUUCAAUUUUCUUUCAUUUUUAAUCUUCCUUUUAUCUCUUAAUUUUUGUUUCAUUUUCUUUAUUUUCUCUCACAUUUUUUUU
rnacentral:lncRNA from 1 species